ACCUGUGAAGCAACUGAAGAAAAUGUUUGAAACAACAAGAUUGCUUGCAACAAUUAUUAUGCUCUUGUGUUUCAUAUUUACCCUGUGUGCUGCUCUUUGGGUAAGUUAUGUCAGCCCUACCGGCUUUCAGUUAACUGUGUGCCCCCCACCACAGCUGAAGUGUCAUUACACCAUUAUCUUAAAAUAGCUCAUCUGUUUUUUUUAAAACUCUCUAAAGAUUAGGUGUUCUUGACAUGUUAACAUCCAGCUAGUGGCUAAAAAUGCCAUAGAUUGUACUGUCUACAGCAUAGAGGUAGUCAGUAAACACACAUGUGCACACAUGCUCACCCACCCAGCUAGUGGCUAAAUGUGCC
rnacentral:sRNA from 1 species